CCUACGGGAGGCAGCAGUGGGGAAUAUUGGACAAUGGGCGAAAGCCUGAUCCAGCAAUGCCGCGUGAGUGAUGAAGGCCUUAGGGUUGUAAAGCUCUUUUACCCGGGGUGAUAAUGACAGUACCGGGAGAAUAAGCUCCGGCUAACUCCGUGCCAGCAGCCGCGGUAAU
rnacentral:rRNA from 1 species